GAUGAACGCUAGCGGCAGGCCUAACACAUGCAAGUCGAGGGGCAGCACAGAAAGUAGCUUGCUACUUUUGGUGGCGACCGGCAGACGGGUGCGUAACGCGUGUGCAACCUACCCUUAACAGGGAGAUAACGGAGGGAAACUUCCACUAAUACCCCAUAAUAUCCGGAAAGGCAUCUUUUCGGGUUGAAAGCUCCGGCGGUUAAGGAUGGGCACGCGUUGUAUUAGAUAGUUGGUGAGGUAACGGCUCACCAAGUCUACGAUACAUAGGGGGACUGAGAGGUUAACCCCCCACACUGGUACUGAGACACGGACCAGACUCCUACGGGAGGCAGCAGUGAGGAAUAUUGGUCAAUGGACGCAAGUCUGAACCAGCCAUGCCGCGUGCAGGAAGACGGCUCUAUGAGUUGUAAACUGCUUUUGCAAGAGGAUAAUUGCGGGUACGUGUACCCGCUUGAAGGUACCUUGCGAAUAAGGAUCGGCUAACUCCGUGCCAGCAGCCGCGGUAAUACGGAGGAUCCAAGCGUUAUCCGGAUUUAUUGGGUUUAAAGGGUGCGUAGGCGGCACAGUAAGUUAGAGGUGAAAUCCGGCGGCUCAACCGCCGAACUGCCUCUGAUACUGCUGGGCUAGAGACGAGAUGCCGUUGGCGGAAUGUGUAGUGUAGCGGUGAAAUGCUUAGAGAUUACACAGAACACCGAUUGCGAAGGCAGCUAACGAAUCUCGUUCUGACGUUGAGGCACGAAAGCGUGGGUAGUAAACAGGAUUAGAUACCCUGGUAGUCCACGCAGUAAACGAUGAUAGCUCGUUGUCGGCGAUACACUGUCGGUGACUUAGCGAAAGCGUUAAGCUAUCCACCUGGGGAGUACGUUCGCAAGAAUGAAACUCAAAGGAAUUGACGGGGGCCCGCACAAGCGGAGGAACAUGUGGUUUAAUUCGAUGAUACGCGAGGAACCUUACCCGGGCUUGAAAGUUAGUGACAGAGCUGGAAACAGCUCCUCCCUUCGGGGCACAAAACUAGGUGCUGCAUGGUUGUCGUCAGCUCGUGCCGUGAGGUGUCGGAUUAAGUUCCAUAACGAGCGCAACCCUUGCCGUUAGUUGCCAUCAGAUAAUGCUGGGCACUCUAACGGGACUGCCGGUGUAAACCGCGAGGAAGGUGGGGAUGACGUCAAAUCAGCACGGCCCUUACGUCCGGGGCGACACACGUGUUACAAUGGCAGGUACAGAGGGCCGCUACCCCGCGAGGGGAUGCUAAUCUCUAAAGCCUGUCUCAGUUCGGAUCGGAGGCUGAAACUCGCCUCCGUGAAGUUGGAUUCGCUAGUAAUCGCGCAUCAGCCAUGGCGCGGUGAAUACGUUCCCGGGC
rnacentral:rRNA from 1 species